AUUGAACGCUAGCGGGAUGCUUUACACAUGCAAGUCGAACGAGAGGCGGACGGGUGAGUAAUAUAUCUGAACGUGCCCAGUAGCGGGGGAUAACUACUCGAAAGAGUGGCUAUUACAGCAUACUCUUGGAGCGGCCGAUAUCGGAUUGGCUAGUUGGGGGGGGAAAGGCGCACCAAGGCAACGAUCCGUAGCGGGUUUGAGAGGACGACCAGCCACACUGGGACUGAGACACGGCCCAGACUCCUACGGGAGGCAGCAGUGGGGAAUUUUGGACAAUGGGGGAAACCCUGAUCCAGCCAUCCCGCGUGUAUGAGAAGGCCUUCGGGUUGUAAAGUACUUUUGGCAGAGAAGCGGUAUCUGCAGAAUAAGCACCGGCUAACUACGUGCCAGCAGCCGCGGUAAUUC
rnacentral:rRNA from 1 species